rnacentral:SRP_RNA from 1 species
GCUGGGUGCGGUGGCUCGCGCCUGUAAUCCCAGCACUUUGGAGGCCGAGGCGGGUGGAUCACCUGAGGUCAGGAGUUCAAGACCAGCCUGGCCAACAUGGUGAAACCCCAUCUCUA